CCUGGAAAAGAAAAUAAGCAAUACGGAGCACCGUCUAACACAUCGUUACACCAGUUAAUUCUCAGGAGAUUUUAGAAUUCACUUGGGGUACCGGCUUUUCCUCCUACACCUUCCCAGUUGUAACGAAUCUGCGAAUCUGCGUCAGCGGAUCUAAGCGCUCCUUGACAUCACUGCUCCCACGUGUUCUCUGCUGCCCAGCGGCGCGGCGCCCUCCUCACGCAGACCCUCGGAUCUCAGACUCGAGCGCACCGCAGCUCCUCAGCCCGGUACCGGUGUCGGAUGCGAGAGCCUGUGGCUAAGUAAGAAAUCCAGCCUCACUGAAGAUAUUCAAGCAAAAGGCGGGGCACUUCCUUUUCCAGAACAGAAAAGAAACUCAUGCAUCAGAAAAGGUGAUUGAUAAACAUACUGGAAGAAUAUGGCUGCACAGAUACCAGAAUCUGACCAGAUAAAACAGUUUAAGGAGUUCCUGGGAACCUACAACAGACUCACGGAAAGCUGCUUUCUGGACUGUGUCAAAGACUUCACCACGAGAGAGGUGAAACCUGAGGAGGUUACCUGUUCAGAACAUUGCUUACAGAAAUAUUUAAAAAUGACACAGAGGAUAUCCAUGAGAUUUCAGGAAUAUCAUAUUCAGCAGAAUGAAGCCCUGGCAGCCAAAGCAGGACUCCUGGGCCAGCCCCGGUAGAAAAGUGCCAAGGCACAGAUGUGCACUGAAAGAUUGCCAGCAGCUGCUGCACUGGAAAUGAGGAUUCGUCUGGGAGAAUCCCCUGAAGCACAGCAGGAGUAGUGGUCAGCCAUCUGUCGUGACUGCCUGACCAAGGGAAACCACCGAAGAAACCAAAAUCACUGUUUACCAGAAAAAACCAAAACAGAAGGCCUUCCUGUUGAGUGAAAUGAACACACUAUUCUGUCUGGGCUGUGAUGCGUUGAGAUGCUUCAGUAAGGAUCAUCCUUCAAGUACUUCUGUUCAUACAUGUCUGCCUCAAGUUGCUGGUAAAUACACAAAACAGUUACGUGUCAGUCAUUCCAAGGCGUGGGCACUCUUCCUUGCUGCUUUUGUCACAUUCGGUAGUGCCUGUUUUAUCCUGGCUGCACUUUAAAGACCCUUAGGCAACAUCCCUUUUGAGGCUAGCUCAGAAAUGGUUAUGACUGUUAUGCUCUAAUACAGCCUUACAGUUUGUUUAAAAACAGAGUCCAGGCUAGUGAGGGCUUAGCAGCUAAAGGAAUUGGUACCAAGCCUGACAGCCUGAGUCCCAUCAGGAGCAACCAUGUGGUGCAAAAAGAACUGACUACCCAGUUAGCUCCUGCCCUCACCCAUAUGCCAUGGUGCCUGUGUGCGUGCACAUACACACACCAACAUGAAUGGUUUGAGUGUAAAUAAUAACAUGCAGCUAAUGUGACAAAUUGAGUAAAAUGAACCAGAGUUGAAUUUGUAUCUUAUGGCUAAUAAAUUCUGAAGCAGAUUCAACAUUUGCA